rnacentral:piRNA from 1 species
CCUGUUGUUUAAAUCCUUUCUGGUGUAAUGU